rnacentral:lncRNA from 1 species
AAAGGAAAACAAGUGGCUUUUGGUUCAGAGUCGAUGUUACAUCCUGUGUUUGUUUCUUUUAUUUCCUCGAUUUUCUUUUCUUAUUAUUUUUUUUUCUUCACCGAAUGCCCUUUUCCAUGCUUCUUUUUUAAUCUUCGAGUCAUCAUUUUUCUCUUUUUAUUUUUCUUUCUUUCUCUCGAUUCAUCAAUUUUUUCCUUUUUCUUUUGUUCUUGCACUCUCUUGGGCCUUGGGAGCUUUUGGGGUUUUUACCCCAAACUUAGCUUUUC